UUUACGGCAGCCCCCUACUGAUUUACGGUAGGGGCAUGUCACACCAGGGGCCACCGUUCUUUUUGGAUGCCGGAAGACGAUCAAGCUCAUCGAAGGACCGAACACGAUAAAGAUACAUGCUUCCGCACAUUUCCUCGUCGUAAAUUUUUAAACGACAAAUUCGAUCACUUAUGUUGAAUAACUUAUGAUUUGUAAAAGUUUUAAUAAACUCGUAUUUUCAUAGUAUGUGUAAACUUAAUUAC
rnacentral:lncRNA from 1 species